rnacentral:pre_miRNA from 1 species
CCCACAUCCAUACGUAUAGGACCCCAAAGGAUCACCAUUAAAUUUGACACAGAUCUCUAAAAAAGUUAUCUCAUGGAUGUGGGACUUGACUUUCCUAGAGAUCUGUGCCAAAUUUAAUGGUGAUCCUUUGGGGUCCUACACACAUGGGUGUGGG